GGGGGGGGGGGGGGGGGGGCCGGGGGCGUGCGGGGCGGGCGGAGGGGCGAGAAGCUUGCGUCUCUGAUGUUAGCGGCGGACGGGUGAGUAACACGUGGAUAACCUACCUAUAAGACUGGGAUAACUUCGGGAAACCGUAGCUAAUACCGGAUAAUAUUUUGAACCGCAUGGUUCAAAAGUGAAAGACGGUCUUGCUGUCACUUAUAGAUGGAUCCGCGCUGCAUUAGCUAGUUGGUAAGGUAACGGCUUACCAAGGCAACGAUGCAUAGCCGACCUGAGAGGGUGAUCGGCCACACUGGAACUGAGACACGGUCCAGACUCCUACGGGAGGCAGCAGUAGGGAAUCUUCCGCAAUGGGCGAAAGCCUGACGGAGCAACGCCGCGUGAGUGAUGAAGGUCUUCGGAUCGUAAAACUCUGUUAUUAGGGAAGAACAUAUGUGUAAGUAACUGUGCACAUCUUGACGGUACCUAAUCAGAAAGCCACGGCUAACUACGUG
rnacentral:rRNA from 1 species